GAUGAACGCUAGCUACAGGCUUAACACAUGCAAGUCGAGGGGCAGCGCAGUGUAGCAAUACAUGGGCGGCGACCGGCGCACGGGUGCGUAACGCGUAUCCAACCUUCCCGAUACUCUUGGAUAGCCUUCCGAAAGGGAGAUUAAUACAAGAUGGUGUUUCACUUUCGCAUGUUAUUGAAACUAAAGAUUUAUCGGUAUCGGAUGGGGAUGCGUGACAUUAGAUAGUAGGCGGGGUAACGGCCCACCUAGUCUACGAUGUCUAGGGGUUCUGAGAGGAAGGUCCCCCACACUGGAACUGAGACACGGUCCAGACUCCUACGGGAGGCAGCAGUGAGGAAUAUUGGUCAAUGGUCGGAAGACUGAACCAGCCAAGUAGCGUGAAGGAUGAAGGUUCUAUGGAUUGUAAACUUCUUUUAUACGGGAAUAAACCUCCCACGUGUGGGAGCUUGUAUGUACCGUAUGAAUAAGCAUCGGCUAACUCCGUGCCAGCAGCCGCGGU
rnacentral:rRNA from 1 species